GAGGUCGACCGAUAGUAGAAUCCAGAGAGCACUUGGAGCAGCCUGAUAGACGACCGAAGAAGCUUAUCGCUGGAGAAGCCCGGGAGAUGCUGCAGGAGUUCGUCCGUCGGAGGAAUCCGGUCGACACUUGUGGAAGAAGCUGUGGGAGUUCAUCCGUCGGCAGAACUUGGAAACAUUGCGAAAACUCGACCGUCGGAGAGGUUCGGAAAGAUGUCGCCCA
rnacentral:lncRNA from 1 species